rnacentral:lncRNA from 1 species
CAGAGAAGCUGGCCUGAGCUUUGAUUUGGACGAGUUUGUUGAAUGACUGCUGGGGAGAAGAUAUAACACCAAGGAGAGUCCUCAUUUCCACUUCAGCAUGCCUUCCUACAUUAAUGGAACCUGGAUGGCCAAAUUCUGGGUGUUAGCAGGUGACGAGAACAUGAGUUAUUUACCCAAGAGCUGGGGAAGAGUGGGGCCGGCCAGGCAGCAGCUGAAGAAAGCGAAACCUCUGAAGAGCACCAGUAGCAUCCAGGUCCCUGGAGCAAUACAGGAGACAGCAGUGUUGAGCUGCCCCUUUGGAUACCAAAGGCAGACAAAGUUAAUGAAUCGAUCAUUUGAUACCACUGAGCCUGG